UAACCUGCCCAAGAGAUCGGGAUAACACCUGGAAACAGAUGCUAAUACCGGAUAACAACAGAUGAUGCCUAUCAACUGUUUAAAAGAUGGUUCUGCUAUCACUCUUGGAUGGACCUGCGGUGCAUUAGCUAGUUGGUAGGGUAACGGCCUACCAAGGCGAUGAUGCAUAGCCGAGUUGAGAGACUGAUCGGCAACAUUGGGACUGAGACACGGCCCAAACUCCUACGGGAGGCAGCAGAC
rnacentral:rRNA from 1 species